AGCACUUUGUAUGUAUUUGUUCAACUGGUAGACAAGAACAUGAAAGACAGGUGCAAAAAUAAACCCUGUUCUGCAACCAGAACUCAUUGUUCAGUACGAGUUCAGAUCCAGACCAAAGGGAACACC
ensembl:snoRNA